UACGUAGGGUGCAAGCGUUGUCCGGAAUUAUUGGGCGUAAAGAGCUCGUAGGCGGUUUGUCGCGUCUGCUGUGAAAACCCGGGGCUUAACCCUGGGCUUGCAGUGGAUACGGGCAGACUAGAGGCAGGUAGGGGAGAAUGGAAUUCCCGGUGUAGCGGUGAAAUGCGCAGAUAUCAGGAGGAACACCGGUGGCGAAGGCGGUUCUCUGGGCAUUACCUGACGCUGAGGAGCGAAAGCAUGGGGAGCGAACAGG
rnacentral:rRNA from 1 species